rnacentral:rRNA from 1 species
ACGCUGGCGGCGUGCCUAACACAUGCAAGUCAACGGGGUUACGAGAGCUUGCUCUUGUAACUUAGUGGCAACGGGUGAGUAACGCGUGAGAACCUGCCUUUCAGAGGGGGACGACAGUUGGAAACGACUGCUAAUACCGCAUAACGCGUAGAGGUCGCAUGCCUUUACGCCAAAGAUUUAUCGCUGAAAGAUGGCCUCGCGUCUGAUUAGCUAGUUGGUGAGGUAACGGCCCACCAAGGCGACGAUCAGUAGCCGGACUGAGAGGUUGAACGGCCACAUUGGGACUGAGAUACGGCCCAGACUCCUACGGGAGGCAGCAGUGGGGAAUAUUGGGCAAUGGGCGCAAGCCUGACCCAGCAAUGCCGCGUGAAGGAAGAAGGCUUUCGGGUUGUAAACUUCUUUUGUCAGGGACGAGUAGAAGACGGUACCUGACGAAUAAGCCACGGCUAACUACGUG